GGCGUGUUGUGUAUGUAACAAAUUGAGGGAUGCCACGAAUAACUAACACAGUCCGUAUAUAGCGGUGCAGAAUAAAAGGAAGGGGUGCAUGAGAGGUGGGCUCAGAUGUGGCAUGUGGAACCCAUAUAGAUCCAAAAACACAAAUCGACAGGGGUGCGAAGAUCGAAAGCGGGGUGCGCAGAGCAAAAGCGUCUCAGCCCAUCUUCUUUCAAAAAAGAACCCUAAAACCUAAAUUCUCUUCACGCAUCUUUCUUUUCCCAACCAUCAUCUUCAACGCAGCACAACAACCCCUAGCCUUGGGUCACGCACCUGCUCAACGCCGGCGACGACGGCGGCCACCGUCGACGGACAUGCCAGCACUCGUUUCGCGAGUGCUCCUUCGUUCUCGUCUUCUUCAAUGCGCGAGCCACCACUGUAGCCUCAAGGUCACGACGUGCAUGCUUCCCGGUCCGUCAGAGCCGCCGGCGACGGUGCUAAUCGCUACCAGAAGCGUCGCCGGCCUCCGCGGUGCUCCAACUUAUCGAACCUCUUCUCGCGCCCCCAACACCCAGCCGGUAUGAGAUGAAGGUGAAAGUACCGGAAGGUUAGCUAGUGAUGGAGGAAUCGGCGAGGAGAUGAAUCUGUUGAGAGGGAUUGAAUUUGUGAUUUAGUUUCUGUUUGUGUUUGCAGAAAACGUGAUGUGUAUGUGCGGUGAUGGAGGAGUUGGCGGUGAUGAAUGAUGGUGAAACAGAGAGGAUAAUGGGCGGUGGAUGAAACUGGUUUGGGUUUUAUGUGUAUAUGAUGUUGAUGGUGGCGACAGAGAUCGUGGGUGAGGAGUUUGGUUCUGUUUUCUUUUUUUUUAUGCUUUGAGCAGGAAUUGAAUAACACACUUACAGAUAUAAAAGGGACAAUGGUGUGGAGACAUUGGAGGGGAGUAAACAAGAUGGUUCGUUUUCACAUAUCACUCUGAGGCUCUAGCACAUUUUCAUAAUGAACAAACCAAAAUACCAAAGUAUUCAAGUAUGGACGCUUACCCGUUGUAGCCUCCUUGCCUUGUUUUGGCUUCCUCCUUCACUCGAUGGUUCCUUUGCUGUCCCCGAUCACCGUUGCUCUCCUUUUCUUCUCCCCUCUUUUUUUUUUUUUCUCCUCCCUUUUUGCCUUUUAUUGUGUUAUCAAGUGUAUUCUCAAAGUCUGCUGCCCGUGCUAGGAAGAUGUCCUCUUUUCAAACGGCUCUCCUCCCCUUUUUAUCUAAUUUCGCAUUUUAUAAAUCUUCUGUUUGAAUUUUUGCCAAUGAUCAAAAAGCAUGAGCUAGGUUAUCUUCCAGUCA